rnacentral:lncRNA from 1 species
AGUGAAUGAGAAAUUACGACUUUCUCAGACAAAACAAUUAAGGGAAUUAGCUGCCAGUAGAUCUACCUUGCAAGAAAUGUUGAAAGAAGUUCUUUACAGAGAAGGAAUGUAAUAUAGGGCAUAAACUUGGAUCUACAUAAAAAAGGGAAGAAAAUUGAAGAAGGAAUAAAUGAAGUUUGGCACCAUAACUCGGAUUAGACUAGAAGCCCACCUCCAGACUCCACCCUCUCCACCCACGUGCUGAGGUCUCUUGAGCCUGUUGUGUUCCUUCCCUGACUGGCAAUUCAGGGAUCCCACAACUAAGUAGUCCUACAUUCUGGGCUACUGAUGGAGGCCCUUGUCCCUGCCUGUUUUAUGUAUGUGUCUCUCUAAGGAUUAGCCCUGAGCUAACAUCUGCUGUCAAUCCUCCUCUUUUGCUGUGGAAGACUGGCCCUGAGCUUACAUCUGUGCC